UACGAAGGGGGGCUAGCGUUGCUCGGAAUCACUGGGCGUAAAGCGCACGUAGGCGGAUUUCUAAGUUAGGGGUGAAAUCCUGGAGCUCAACUCCAGAACUGCCUUUGAUACUGGGAAUCUUCGAGUCCGGGAGAGGUGAGUGGAACUGCGAGUGUAGAGGUGAAAUUCGUAGAUAUUCGCAAGAACACCAGUGGCGAAGGCGGCUCACUGGCCCGGUACUGACGCUGAGGAGCGAAAGCGUGGGGAGCGAACAGG
rnacentral:rRNA from 1 species